AAAAUAAAAGCGAAAUCUCUCUUAAAAACCCUCUUUUUUUAAUUAUACUCUAUUCAACGACUCUCAAUUUUGUCUGCAGCAAUCAGGUCAAACUUCUUUCUCUUCGAUAUUGCUUUCCUUCACGUCUCAUUCAUAUACUGCUUAUACACUGAAAUCUGAGUAGGGAUUGAAUAUCGUUGAUGUUGGGCGCUUUAAGGAGAAAAGUUGCGAGCGGAGACUCAUCAUCUUUGGUAUUAGGGAAGUCAUUGCUGGCGAUUCGACGGGGUGUUUCAGCAUCUAGAGUUUCUUCUAAUGCUGGAAAAGAGG